rnacentral:rRNA from 1 species
GAUGAACGCUGGCGGCGUGCCUAAUACAUGCAAGUAGAACGCUGAAGGAGGAGCUUGCUCUUCUGGAUGAGUUGCGAACGGGUGAGUAACGCGUAGGUAACCUGCCUGGUAGCGGGGGAUAACUAUUGGAAACGAUAGCUAAUACCGCAUGACAACAGUUAUUGCAUGAUAACUGUUUAAAAGGGGCAACUGCUCCACUACCAGAUGGACCUGCGUUGUAUUAGCUAGUUGGUGAGGUAACGGCUCACCAAGGCGACGAUACAUAGCCGACCUGAGAAGGGGGUCGGCCACCCUGGGACUGAGACACGGCCCAGACUUCUUCGGGAAGCAGCCGUAGGGAAUCUUCGGCAAUGGACGGAAGGCUUACCGGGCAACGCCGCGUGAGUGCAGAAGGUUUUCGGAUCCUAAAGCUCUGUUGUAAGAGAAGAACGAGUGUGAGAGUGGAAAGUUCACGCUGUGACGGUAUCUUACCAGAAAGGGACGGCUAACUACGUG